rnacentral:rRNA from 1 species
GUAGGGUGGCAAGCGUUGUCCGGAAUUAUUGGGCGUAAAGCGCGCGCAGGCGGUCCUUUAAGUCUGAUGUGAAAGCCCACGGCUCAACCGUGGAGGGUCAUUGGAAACUGGGGGACUUGAGUACAGAAGAGGAAAGCGGAAUUCCAAGUGUAGCGGUGAAAUGCGUAGAGAUUUGGAGGAACACCAGUGGCGAAGGCGGCUUUCUGGUCUGUAACUGACGCUGAGGCGCGAAAGCGUGGGGAGCAAACAGGAUUAGAUACCCUGGUAGUCCACGCCGUAAACGAUGAGUGCUAAGUGUUAGGGGGUUUCCGCCCCUUAGUGCCGCAGCUAACGCAUUAAGCACUCCGCCUGGGGAGUACGGCCGCAAGGCUG